rnacentral:tRNA from 1 species
AGCCCCAUAGUCCAGUGGUCAAAGACGUCGGGUUUUGGGCCCGAAAGCCCAGGUUCGAAUCCUGGUGGGGCUA